GAUACCCUGGUAGUCCACGCUGUAAACGAUGUCGACUUGGAGGUUGUGCCCUUGAGGCGUGGCUUCCGGAGCUAACGCGUUAAGUCGACCGCCUGGGGAGUACGGCCGCAAGGUUAAAACUCAAAUGAAUUGACGGGGGCCCGCACAAGCGGUGGAGCAUGUGGUUUAAUUCGAUGCAACGCGAAGAACCUUACCUACUCUUGACAUCCAGAGAACUUUCCAGAGAUGGAUUGGUGCCUUCGGGAACUCUGAGACAGGUGCUGCAUGGCUGUCGUCAGCUCGUGUUGUGAAAUGUUGGGUUAAGUCCCGCAACGAGCGCAACCCUUAUCCUUUGUUGCCAGCGGUUCGGCCGGGAACUCAAAGGAGACUGCCAGUGAUAAACUGGAGGAAGGUGGGGAUGACGUCAAGUCAUCAUGGCCCUUACGAGUAGGGCUACACACGUGCUACAAUGGCAUAUACAAAGAGAAGCGACCUCGCGAGAGCAAGCGGACCUCAUAAAGUAUGUCGUAGUCCGGAUUGGAGUCUGCAACUCGACUCCAUGAAGUCGGAAUCGCUAGUAAUCGUGGAUCAGAAUGCCACGGUGAAUACGUUCCCGGGCCUUGUACACACCGCCCGUCACACCAUGGGAGUGGGUUGCAAAAGAAGUAGGUAG
rnacentral:rRNA from 1 species